GGAGUGGUAUCGAAGUGGUCAUAACGAGCACGAUUGGAAAUCGUGUGACAGUCAAAAGCUGUCCGAGGGUUCGAAUCCCUCCCACUCCGCCA
rnacentral:tRNA from 1 species